GCCGAGCUCAGCAGCGUGAGCUUGUAACCCGAGCGGGGGCAUCAAGGUGGUGUGGACGUUGCCGUAGCGCUGUGGGCCUGGCCCGGUCGUGCUUCCGCUGGCCCGCCCGUUCCAAGUUGCGUAGUGGACCCGGUUGGGGGCCUGUGCGGAAGCUAGGCGUCACGGGCUAUAAUGUGGCAGGCAUUGCGUGAGGCUGGUUUCACAGAGCAGCGAAAACUGCCCGCUUCCAACGGUGGAAGGAUAACGGGCCGCUGCACAACUGGGCCGCUUGGGUCUCACAGCCUACUCCAACGAACCACCAUUUUU
rnacentral:SRP_RNA from 1 species